rnacentral:rRNA from 1 species
AUUGGAGGGCAAGUCUGGUGCCAGCAGCCGCGGUAAUUCCAGCUCCAAUAGCGUAUAUUAAAGUUGUUGCAGUUAAAAAGCUCGUAGUUGAAACUUGGGCCUGGCUGGCGGGUCCGCCUCACCGCGUGCACUCGUCCGGCCGGGCCUUCCUUCUGAAGAACCUCAUGCCCUUCACUGGGCGUGUUGGGGAAUCAGGACUUUUACUUUGAAAAAAUUAGAGUGUUCAAAGCAGGCCUUUGCUCGAAUACGUUAGCAUGGAAUAAUAAAAUAGGGCGUGCGUUUCUAUUUUGUUGGUUUCUAGAGACGCCGCAAUGAUUAACAGGAACAGUCGGGGGCAUCAGUAUUCAGUUGUCAGAGGUGAAAUUCUUGGAUUUACUGAAGACUAACUACUGCGAAAGCAUUUGCCAAGGAUGUUUUCAUUAAUCAGUGAACGAAAGUUAGGGGAUCGAAGACGAUCAGAUACCGUCGUAGUCUUAACCGUAAACUAUGCCGACUAGGGAUCGGGCGAUGUUCUUUUUCUGACUCGCUCGGCACCUUACGAGAAAUCAAAGUUUUUGGGUUCUGGGGGGAUUAUGGUCGCAAGGCUGAAACUUAAAGAAAUUGACGGAAGGUCACCACCAGGCGUGGAGCCUGCGGCUUAAUUUGACUCAACACGGGGAAACUCACCAGGUCCAGAUGAAAUAAGGAUUGACAGAUUGAGAGCUCUUUCUUGAUUUUUCAGGUGGUGGUGCAUGGCCGUUCUUAGUUCGUGGGGUGACUUGUCUGCUUAAUUGCGAUAACGAGCGAGACCUUACUCUGCUAAAUAGCCAGGCUAGCUUUGGCUGGUCGCCGGCUUCUUAGAGAGACUAUCAACUUCAAGUGUAUGGAAGUUUGAGGCAAUAACAGGUCAGUGAUGCCCUUAGAGAAUCAGGAA